rnacentral:tRNA from 1 species
GCCGGCGUAGCUCAGCGGUAGAGCAACUGAUUCGUAAUCAGUAGGUCGAGGGUUAAAACCCCCCCGCCGGCUCCA